CGGAGCAAUGUUAUCAGUCUGUACAAACUAUUCCCAAAGGAAAGUUCUGACGGGCAAGAAAUUCUAACUUUAGUUAACUGUUGAACGACUACUGUAUCUUUCCUGUAAUUUAAUACCCAUUUUCAGCCACCUGGAGUAAGNGUUGUGUUCUUGUUGCACCCUUGACUUCACUUUUUUCCAUUUUUCUUCUGCUGCGCCAGAGUAGACGAAUGGGCGUACCAGAAAAUCCUGCAUUUGAUCUCAGUUGUUUCUCCAUAUAGCGCCGG
rnacentral:misc_RNA from 1 species